GACGAACGCUGGCGGCGUGCCUAAUACAUGCAAGUCGAACGCAGUGGGGACGGGUGAGUAAAACGUGGGUAACCUCCCAUCAGAGGGGAUAACACUUGGCAACAGGUGCUAACCCGAUACGGAUGGAUGAACCCGCGGUGCAGUAGCUAGUUGGUGAGGUCACGGCCUACCAAGGCCACGAUGCAUAGCGUACCUGAGAGGGUGAUCGGCCACACUGGGACGGAGACACGGCCCAGACUCCUACGGGAGGCAGCAGUAGGGAAUCUUCGGCAAUGGACGAAAGUCUGACCGAGCAACGCCGCGUGAGUGAAGAAGGUUUUCGGAUCGUAAAACUCUGGUGUUAGAGAAGCGGUAUCUAACCAGAAAGCCACGGCUAACUACGUGCCAGCCGCCGCGGUAAUAC
rnacentral:rRNA from 1 species